UUCGCCCUUUUCCGGUUGAUCCUGCCGGAUCGCAUGUUUUGGCAGGUAACUGGUCGGGAUCCUUCGGGACCGGCUGCUUUGGGAGGCGAUUGCGGCUUAUCAGCUUGUUGGUGAGGUAACGGCUCACCAAGGCUACGACGGGUAGCGGGCCUGAGAGGGUGGUCCGUCACACUGGGACUGAGACACUGCCCAGACUCCUACGGGAGGCUGCAGUCGAGAAUCUUCCGCAAUGGGCGAAAGCCUGACGGAGCGACGCCGCGUGUAGGACGAAGGCCCUAGGGUUGUAAACUACUGUCACGGAUUAUGAAUGGCGUAAUGUGAAUAGCAUUGCGUUUGACGUAAGUCCGAGAGGAAGCACCGGCUAACUCUGUGCCAGCAGCCGCGGUAAUACAGAGGGUGCAAACGUUGUUCGGAAUUACUGGGCAUAAAGGGCGCGUAGGCGGCGUGUUAAGUGUGAAGUGAAAUCCCACGGCUCACCCGUGGAACUGCUUUGCAUACUGGCAGGCUCGAGGACGGUAGGGGAGAGCGGAACUCUUGGAGGAGCGGUGAAAUGCGUAGAUAUCAAGGGGAACACCAAUGGCGAAGGCAGCUCUCUGGUCCGUUUCUGACGCUGAGGCGCGAAAGCUAGGGUAGCGAACGGGAUUAGAUACCCCGGUAGUCCUAGCCGUAAACGAUGAGCACUAGCUAGGGGCCUCCCUGUGGGGUCCCUGG
rnacentral:rRNA from 1 species